GGGCGCUUGCUUGCGCCGCACAUAUGCUAAAAUUGGAACAACACAGAGCAGAUUAGUAUGGCCCCACACAAGGAAGACACACAAAUUAGUGACGCGAUCCAUAUUUUA